AUCCAUGACUCCAUGGGGGCAGCCGCCUGUGGCUGUCUCCCUUCCUAGGCAUGGAAGAGCAGUUCCUUGCUAAUUGGCAAAACUUUUACCCUUUUGUGGGCAUUAGUCGUUGACUGUGGCAAGUAACAGGC
rnacentral:snoRNA from 1 species